rnacentral:rRNA from 1 species
AUUGAACGCUGGCGGCAGGCCUAACACAUGCAAGUCGGGCGCGCGGCGGACGGGUGAGUAAUGUAUGGGGAUCUGCCUGAUGGAGGGGGAUAACUACUGGCCACGGUAGCUAAUACCGCAUCCCCUCAUAUGAACCCAUAUGGGAUUAGCUUGUAGGUGAGGUAACGGCUCACCUAGGCGACGAUCCCUAGCUGGUCUGAGAGGAUGAUCAGCCACACUGGGACUGAGACACGGCCCAGACUCCUACGGGAGGCAGCAGUGGGGAAUAUUGCACAAUGGGCGCAAGCCUGAUGCAGCCAUGCCGCGUGUAUGAAGAAGGCCUUAGGGUUGUAAAGUACUUUCAGUCGGGAGGCGUUACUCGCAGAAGAAGCACCGGCUAACUCCGUGCCAGCAGCCGCGGUAAUUC